UAUAAACAAAAAAUAUCCUCUUUUUGGAAGCCAUGAAAUUCUGCGGCAGGUUCCACCCUUGAAAGAGACGAGGCUCGGAACCUCUGGGCUCAUUCCCAGCCCAGGCCUCCUCUCAAGACCAAGGGGGGAGUUCAGGGCCACAUCCGGGGAUGUUGCCUCAGUGCAUAGAUAAGAGGUGGUCAUGAGAGGCUUUCAUGUUUCGGACAAAUUAUGAACCAUAAAGAAAUGAAACCAGAGCCACAGUGAGCCGUGCCUCCAGCGCUGCUCUCUGGCCAGUCUCUACAAUGUCAGAUUUUCUCCAUUUCUCACUUCUUCUCCUCCGGCCUCUUCCAUGCCCUUGCUUUCCACCCCUUCCACGUCCAUUUCUUGGGAUCCAAACAUCCUUUCCUCUCCUCUCCAUACCCUUCUUUGGCUGAGGAAUGCCAUUUAGCAGUAGAAACGAGCCCAAAAGGUGCCUUCAGCUGCACUUUGAGAAGACGGACGACCCAGGAGAAAAAAAACAGGAGAAGAAGGGGCCUCCCUCUUUGAGCCAUGGAACUGGAAGCAAAGCAGAGGCUGCCCAAGAAGGAGAGGGAAAGGAGGCCAUGGGAAAAGCAGAGCUAGGCGGUGGGAACGGUGAUUUCUGAUGACGACGCUACUUGAAGAACAAAGCCGGAUUUCAAUCCGAGAGCACGCCCCGCUCUGUAUGGAUCUCCCUGGCCCGUCUGUAACCUCCAGAAGACGGACUGCCACUGGAAAUGGCCAACGGGGGCAGCCUGGGACCCACACAUGGAUGGAGACUUUGGGGUCGCUUCAGUCCCUGGUCAAGUAAAGAUGGGCAUUUGCUUUUAGACCACCUUUAUCUCUCUAUCUCCAUCCAUGCCACCCCACCCCCCUUCCCGGGAGUAGCUCCCAAGUAAAAACUAGCGAGCAGUGUUAGUACAGUGGUAAACUGUGAGGGCCUGACUCAGCUCUUGGAGCUUCGUUCCUCCUAUCUGUAAAAUGGGCACAAUAAUAGCCUGUGAGAUGCGUUAGGGCAAUCCUGGGAUUGAAUACGGCUUCGUGCAGU